rnacentral:tRNA from 1 species
GCUUUUAAAGGAUAACAGCUCAUCCAUUGGUCUUAGGAACCAAAAAUUCUGGGUGCAAUUCCAAGUAGAAGCU